rfam:Glycine soja cultivar W05 scaffold2158_18, whole genome shotgun sequence.
GCAUCCAUUGUCUAAUGGAUAGGACAGAGGUCUUCUAAACCUUAGGUAUAAGUUCAAAUUCUGGAUGUG